AAAACUCUCGAUUCAACAAAAAAAACAUUUCCCUUGCCCUAAAUCUCAAAACGACUGUAUCUCCUUCUUCUUCUUUGGGACUCUGCCUCUUCAUCCUCUUCAUUCAUUAUGUUAGACUUCGUCCAAUGGUGAAGCUUGAAAGUUGCAUUUUAUGCUGUAUUAAGGAACUUAUUGAAGGUAGUCAGGUUGUAUAUCUUAUUGGUGAUUGUCUACUGGACUAAAAAAUUGGCUUAUCAGAGUCCAAGCAAUUGAUCAAAUGUCUAUUUGGUAUUUGAUAUUCGGGUUUAGGAGAGUGUGAUGAGAUAUGUUAUAAAGACCCAGUUCUAUAGGACCGACAAUGGAGUGCUUAUAUUGACCGUUUUCGUGGUGCUACCAGCUACUCGGAGGUUUUUCCUUCCCUUCCUUUAGUCUGUAAUUCUUUCAUGUUGUGCUUGCUUGCUCAUAUCUCAUUUCUAAAAUAGCAAGUUCAUAUCUCAUUUAGCGAUUAUAUGCUUCUAUCUUAAAUGCAAUUGUCUAUUAGAUAUAUGAAGUGUUAUGAGGAUUUCUGUUUCCCAUUAAAUCCAUCAGUUAUAUAUUUAUUUAUUUACAUCCACUAAAAAAAAAUAAUAAAAUCAAUAAUAUCUAAAAGUAGCACCUGAGUAUUGCAAAUUUAAGUGGAAUCAUGUAUUAUUUUAGUUAUUUGUCGUGGCCACAAAUGAAAUGGAUUGGGUAUGCUUUGGAUAGGUUCUUGGUGUACUUGGGUGAACCAACCAGAUUUUGUGACAGAGGGAGUACUUCAAACAAGGAAUUUUAGCAUGUAAGACAAUUUUACAUUUUCUGUGUUAAUGUCUAUGAAAUUCGAUUAUUUUCAUUUGAAAUGAUUAAAUUUGAUAUGGUUUACAGAAUCUAAUGGAAUAUAUGAUGGUGCUGGUGAAUUGUUUCAGGGAUGAAAGUGGUUGGUGAAUGGUAGCUCCCGGGCUUUCUUUUUUGUAAACUUGGCGAAAGUCCUUUGUAAAAUUUCCAAGCUCGACUAAUCAAUUAUCACAUGGCUAAGCUAGAGAUUCAUGACCUUAUUUUGUAACUAGGAUUUAAGUCUUCUACAACUCAUAUCAUAUCCAUAUUUUGCAAUUGUGAGAUGAAUUACAAUAGUUAUCGUUAUGGCAAUGAUGUGGGUUUUAUGUUUAUUUUUAUGGAGUAAUGAAAUUAUUAUCAAAUUUCUGGCCCAA
rnacentral:lncRNA from 1 species